ensembl:lncRNA
CGGGAAGAGUCGAAAGCCUUAGACAAGGUUGUUUGAGCUGAGACGAGAAGAGAGAAUUCCAGGCAGAGGAAAUAGAUUCUUUCAGAAUCUGACAAAGCAAGGACCAGUUAGAUUCCAAGAACAGAGAAAAGCCUUGUGGCAUUAAGAGAAAAUCUGGAGGCAGAGGCUGUCAGAUCGCCUGCUAUAUUAAUCUUACUAUAAAAAUUGAAAAUAUCGCAAACCAGAAGUCGACCAGACCUCCCCCAGUCCAAAGAAAGACCUGCUCAACCGUAAAGAGAAAUAUUCUCUCAGCAUCAACAAGACAACUCCUUAAAAGAUAACAUCUUGAUUUUGUAAGGGACCACGUGACCCACCACUCUGUACCCCAGAUUUGAAUUGUGCAAACUUUCUACAUUAUUAAAUGUACAGUCUUCUGUCUCAAAAACCUAAAUAACUGUGCUUUGGCCUCUAACAGGUGGAAGAGUCUCAGAACUUUCUGAGGUUAUAAUCCUCCAUUUGACUCAAAUAAAAUUUUCCAUUUCUUUCCUA